AUUGCAAGUCGAACGCUUGUUUCUUAUCACCGGAGCUUGCUCCACCGAAAGAAAGAGGAGUGGCGAACGGGUGAGUAACACGUGGGUAACCUGCCCAUCAGAAGGGGAUAACACUUGGAAACAGGUGCUAAUACCGUAUAACACUAUUUUCCGCAUGGAUUAAUUCUGAAAGGCGCUUUUGCGUCACUGAUAGAUGGACCCGCGGUGCAUUAUCUAGUUGUUGAGGUAACGGCUCACCACGGCGACAAUGCAUAGCCCACCUGAGAGGGUGAUCGGCCACACUGUGACUAGAGACACGGCCCACACUCCUACAGGAGGCGCAACUAUGGAAUCUUCUCCGAUGGACGA
rnacentral:rRNA from 1 species